GCCGGUUUCACCACUAAUUAUGUCUUUGACGCAAACAAAAAUUGAUAUAUUGAACAUUAUUAGUAUUACACAUUUAUAUUAUAUUUAUAUGAUUGACGUUUUUCUCACAUUUUGAUGUUGGCGCAACGUGAUUUUGGUAUAGCUCAAAACAUCCUUCUAUAUUUUAUGUGUAUAAUAAACGUGAAAUUUUUGAUGCAACGAGAGCGGAAAUUAUUAAAAGUAUCGAAGGUCUGGUAAUUGCUAAGAAUUUGUUAAUGUGGAUGGAAAAUUUCAAUAGUCUUUGAUUGAGUCAAAUUUUAGAUAUGUAUUAUUCUAAUCGAGGAAUUUUAUUCAAUAGAAAUAUAAAAGCCUGCGAGAGAGGACGAAAUUUUAUUCAUAUUGCAACUGAAACUAUCAUAGAAGAGGAGGUUCUUAAAGAAGAAGAACCAACAAUGUAAAUUGAAGUUAUUUCUACACUAAUGCAGCACAAAUAAUAAAAAAAUGGAAAACAGGUGUCUAAUACUGAAUUUUAUCAGCGAGUAAUUUAAGUAUCGAGCAUUGACAUGUUAAAAAUUAUGUCAACAUCCAAAUAAGAGAUAAAGGAACCAAAUAUAUUAAACAGAGCUAGUUUAAAGGAGUUAUUACUACUGAAAAUUAUUUUUUAUUUGGACA